GGUCACUUCUGGCGCAGCCGGCAGAUCUCCCCCACCCCACCCGCAGAGGCCGGCUUGCCCGCCCCUCCAGCUAGUCGUAAAGUGCAGUAAAGGCGCUGACGUUUUGCGGCACCGUCGGUGAGGCCGGCGGCGUGGAUUUUCUCUGCGCGAAUCAUCGCUUUCGGUAGCUAUAUUUUCGGAAAGGCUGCUUUUAGGCUUUUGGGGACCCAACUACAAUUCUCUCUAGGUCUCCCUGGACUUUGAAAUGCUUUACCUGAUCGGCCUGGGCCUGGGCGAUGCCAAGGACAUCACAGUCAAGGGCCUGGAAAUUGUUAGACGCUGCAGUCGGGUGUAUCUGGAAGCCUAUACCUCAAUCCUGACUGUAGGGAAGGAAGUCUUGGAAGAGUUCUACGGAAGAAAAUUGAUUCUUGCUGAUAGAGAAGAAGUGGAACAAGAAGCAGAUAAUAUUUUAAAGGAUGCCGAUAUCUGUGAUGUUGCAUUCCUUGUGGUUGGUGAUCCAUUUGGGGCUACCACACACAGCGAUCUUAUUCUGAGAGCAACAAAACUGGGAAUCUCUUACCGAGUUAUUCACAAUGCUUCCAUAAUGAAUGCUGUAGGCUGCUGUGGUUUACAGUUGUAUAAGUUUGGAGAGACGGUAUCUAUUGUUUUUUGGACAGACACUUGGAGACCAGAAAGCUUCUUUGACAAAGUAAAGAAGAACAGACAAAACGGCAUGCACACGUUAUGCUUACUAGACAUCAAAGUAAAGGAGCAGUCUUUGGAAAAUCUAAUCAAGGGAAGGAAGAUCUAUGAACCUCCUCGGUAUAUGAGUGUAAACCAAGCAGCCCGACAGCUUCUGGAGAUUGUUCAGAAUCAACGAGUACGAGGAGAAGAGCCAGCAGUCACCGAGAAGACACUCUGUGUUGGCUUAGCCAGGGUUGGAGCUGAGGACCAGAAAAUUGCAGCAGGCACUUUGCAGCAAAUGUGUACUGUGGACUUGGGAGGACCGUUACACUCUUUAAUUAUCACAGGAGACAACAUGCAUCCAUUGGAGAUGGAGAUGCUAAGUCUGUUUUCCAUACCAGAAAAUAGCGCAGAAUCCUAAAGCAUUGAUGGAAUGGAAGCAUAGACAUUUUCUAUUGUUAGAUGUUAGUUUCAGUCAUAUAUGCACAUACCCGUAUUUGUAUAAUGAACAGUUCUUUGGUGUACCUAAUAAUUAUAAAACAAGUGACCAAGAAGAAAGAUCUUGACUCAAUAAUACUUAGUUUCCUGUGGCAGUGAGUUUUUUCCUUAUGACAUCAUCAUCUGUUGCUGCUAUUUUGGUGAUUUUUGAGGAUGUACACACAUGGAGCAGACCAAGCCUGAAAACUUGCGGAUAGAUAUUCAUAUUGUUAUUUAAAAGCAGUUUUUACUUAUGAAAUGAGUUUAUACAAUGUGGAACUUUCUUCUUUUUUAAAAGUCAGCUGUGCUGACCACAAGAUGAAUUGUCCUGACAGUAGUUGGUAUUAGUGCUUUAAGCAGAGGUGGGAAGAGUAAGUACCACCCAACUGUCCUCUUACUUAAAGCUCAGCUGAGUACAUGCCACAAAAUGACAUCUUUCUGAAUUGCCUUGUCUUGUUUAGCUGACACUCUAAUUAUGUGGUUUAUAUUCUGCUGUAUUUUGGAGGUUAUAUAAUUGUUGAAUUAUAAAUGUUCAGCCAGCCAUGGACAGUUGCUGUUUGGUUUUAAAUAGCAUCUUCACAUCCAAGUGGACAAAUGGAAAACUUAAUGACUAUAAAAUAUGGCUUUAAAAAAUUUAAGUUUGAAGACAUUGGGUUAGGCAAGAUUUGUCAUAUCACUUAACUCAGUAAUAUGCCACCGUAUGUAUGUAAGUAGUCACAUUCUUUUUCCUAGUUAUAAACAACUCUGCAUUUAUAAUAUUAUAUGACUACUGUAGAGUCUUGUACUUUUUGUUCAUAACAGAAAUAGCUUUGCUAGAUGCUAGUUUGGUUGGUCUAACUCUGAAUAUUUCCAUGGCUUAAUCAACCAUAGCUUAAAUUUUGUUAAAUUCAUUGGAAGUUGAACAUAUACUUCCCUACUUCCUGGGAGCAUUAAUUAACAAGAGAUUAUUCUGACUUAUUUCGUUUGAGAUAAAAGGUAUUUUAAAUAUAUAUGAAAUAUUCUGUUUUUAAUCUGUUACAUAAAAAGGGAGAGAGCCAAGGACAUUUAAGUACCAGUUCUGUGUUGUUUUCUUCUGAGGCAUUAAAGCAAGCAUUGAAGAAUUAUAUAAGGAAGGACUUCUGGCUUUGGUAAUGGUGGAAUAGCUUGUAAUGUACAAGCCCUCCCAAUUAUAAACUCUGGGAAAAACAUAACUGUCUGAAGACACUGGGGAAUGACCAAAAGCAAGCUGAGAACUAUACUUAUAUAUAGCUUUUUCCCUCAGGCCAUUCCCCAGUCUGUCUGGUAAGGGAUGGCUAGAAUUCAAGAGAAGGCUAGAAUUCAAGAGUCUUAUUGGCUUGAGGUGUCAGAGAAAUUGGGGGCUGCUAGAGGAGCUGUAAAGUGAGGAGGAAAUUCUAGAAAUGGAGAUGGCACUGAAGGAGGAGCCAGCCUUACAGUCUGUAUACGAAUCUCCUCUUAAUUCUUUAGCUAACUGCUGAAUUAUGCUUUGUACAGGGGAAGACUCCAUGAACCUGGUGGAAAGCCAUAGCUGGAAGGCUGAAAAAUCUGAGCAAAGUUUGUUGCUUUGUAUUGCAAGGGAAAACAGUUUUGAGUUUGAAUCCCGUCAAGAUAGAAGGCUUGCUGAUAUCAUACACAGGGAAUGAGGUGAAAGAAUAAUUCAGGGUUAAUCCAAAUAUCUGGAAACAAAUACUGUGAGAUGGUGUUCAUCAGGCAAAAUAAUCAGAGCCACAAUGAGGGCCUUCACAUGUUAAGACCUUACCAAUCUCCAAGCAUCUCCUCUCUCUGUAACACUAGUUUUGUGGAAAGGAAGCAGUGGCUUCCAUCAGCUUCAGCGAAGACAUUCAGAUGCCUGGAGGCCCAUAGUCCGAAUUCUUACUGGCUAGGAGGAGAACUGGGAGUGAGGGCAUUUUUGAAAUGGAAAAAGAAAAGAAAGGAAACAAAAACUAACAUCCUGGAACAAAACUAGAAACCUCAGAAAUCAAAAUGGUUUGGAGGGAAGAGCACAAAAGACAAGACCAACAGUCUAGGAGGGACCCUCUUAACUCUGAUCCCUCAGCUGUGAAGUCCUGGCAGAGCACAAAAGGCUGACGCUACCUGGUGUACUUGGAGCUGGGGAUUUGUAGUGACGAUUUCCGUCUUAAAAGCUAGGUACAGUGUUUUGGAUUGUACAGUACCAGAAAUAUUGGGUCCCCCAAAAAGGACAAUUUCUUUUCAUUCAUUACAUGGCUGCAAAGUCAAUCUGUACAUAAAGCUGUCUCACUCCAGCCUGAAAAGUAAAAAAAAAAAAAAAAAUUAGAAAAUCAAACAAUAACACACUACACAUUUCAGAAAAUUAAUUUAAAAAAAAACUUUUUUUUUUUUUAAAGGAAAGCAUUACUUUUCUCUUCUGCCUUUGGAACAAUAAUUCUCUAUUUUUCAUCAUAAAGGGCCAGCAAUGUUACUUUAGAAAUAAGCAUAGUGACAAGUUGCAAAAAACAUCCUUCAUUUGCCUCUAGGUAAGAAAGCCAUGCUACUGAUUAUAAACCAUGUCCCAGCGAAAUUUGGAACAAUUAGGUUACCCGUGUGCUGUUACUCUGCCAGAGAACACCAUAGUGCUUGCUUAGUUGGCUACUAAAAUCAUAAAUCGAUCCAGGCCCCAUCUCCCUGUGACAGAUGAUUAGUAAACACUUACGUAUGACCAUCUGUUGGUCAUUUAAAUACAUUCUACUCCUCUCUUCCAUUUUGGAUAUGAACUCACUAUUCAAAGACCGUUCUCUAAAUUGCCACUAGCUCUCCUACAUUACCAAUUUUUGUGUAUUUGCCGCCUACAAUUCCUUUUCUCUCUUCUCUUGAACACAUUUCAGCUGAACUUUUGCCACCCACCACUUUGCAAAGCUGUUGGUCAGGGUCGCCUCCAAGGUGCUCAGACCAGUGCUCACUUGUCAGUCCUCUUAGCAGUUAGUCUAUCAGCAAGGACACAGGCGAUCUCCUCUCCUAACGAAAACGCUUUUCCCCUCUUGGCUUCCAGAGAAUACUCACUGGUAACUUUUUACCUCAUUUAUCAGUCUUCCUUAAUCUCCUUUGGUGCUUCUUUCUCCUAACUUGGAAUACUAAGCACUAACUACCCAAAGGCCCAGUCCUCAGAUUCCUUCUUUUUCUGCACUGUUCCCUAGCUGAUCUCGUCUAAUAUCCAGACUUUCAGUACCAGGUAUAUGCUCAUCCUCCCACAUUUGUAUUUCCACAUUGGAACCUACCAACCGUCUACUUGACAGUUUCAGCUAGAUGUCUGACAAGUAUUACAACACAGCCAAACUGAACACUAUUGCCUCCCCUCAAAGCGUGGUGCUCUUGCAUCUUCUACGCUUCAAUCCUACCCUUAAUGUUACAACUGAAAGACCUUUCUCUCACACUCAGCCCAUUAGGAAUACCUGUUUGCCUCACUUUCAAAACACCACAGUCCCAGAAUCUGACCACUUCACAUCACCUCCAAUUGCUGCCACUUUGGCCUGAGGCACUCUCAUCUCUUGCCUGGAUUUGGUAAUGGCUUCCGAUCUAGUUCCCAUGCCUUUGCCUUCCUUUGGUCUACGUGCAGCAGAACAGUGGCAGUGGUAUCACUCCAGCCCUCAAAGCCUACAACUGCUCAUCUUCCUUGGUCCUUACAGUGGCCUACAAACCCCCGUGACCUGGUCCCAAUUACCUCUCUGACUCCUCUCCCCUUGUUCCAGCUUCACUCGACCCUUCUGCCACUAACAGCAUUCCCUGAGAUAACCAUGUGGCAUGCUCCCUCUCCGGUCAGACACCAGUGAGGCCUACCCUAUAUAAAAUGCAUUCGGUUCAUUUAUCCAACAAGUAUGCUCCCUACCCUUCCCUAACCCUGAUUCCCCUAUCCACAACACUUACCACCUCCUGACACAUUAUAAAAUUUAGCAUUUGCUAUGCUGCUGUGUUUACUGUUGCUCACCCAUUAUCAUGUAAUCUCUCCAAAAAAAAGGAUUUUGUCUUUUUUUUCACUGCUGACCUCUAUACCUCAAGUAAUGCCUGGCACAGAGUAAGUAAUAAAUGUUUACUGGAUGAACAGAAA